rnacentral:tRNA from 1 species
GGCGGUGUAGCUCAGUUGGUUAGAGCAUACGGCUCAUAUCCGUAGUGUCCCCUGGUUCAAAUCCAGGGCACCGCCACCA